AUACGGAGGGUGCAAGCGUUAAUCGGAAUUACUGGGCGUAAAGCGUGCGCAGGCGGUUUGUUAAGUCAGAUGUGAAAGCCCCGGGCUCAACCUGGGAACUGCAUUUGAAACUGGCAAACUAGAGUGUGGUAGAGGGAAGUGGAAUUCCUCAUGUAGCGGUGAAAUGCGUAGAUAUGAGGAGGAACACCAGUGGCGAAGGCGACUUCCUGGACCAACACUGACGCUCAUGUACGAAAGCGUGGGUAGCAAAAAGGAUUAGAAACCCCAGUAGUCC
rnacentral:rRNA from 1 species